ensembl:snRNA Gm25006 U6 spliceosomal RNA
GUGCUUGCUUUGGCAGCACAUAUACUAAAAUUGGAAUGAUAUAGAGAAGGCUAGCAUGGCCCCUGAACAAGGAUGACAUGCAAAUUUGUGAAGGGGUAUCAAUGACU